rnacentral:rRNA from 1 species
AACGUAGGUGGCGAGCGUUAUCCGGAAUUACUGGGCGUAAAGAGCUCGUAGGUGGUUUGUCGCGUUGUUCGUGAAAACUCACAGCUUAACUGUGGGCGUGCGGGCGAUACGGGCAGACUGGAGUACUGCAGGGGAGACUGGAAUUCCUGGUGUAGCGGUGGAAUGCGCAGAUAUCAGGAGGAACACCGGUGGCGAAGGCGGGUCUCUGGGCAGUAACUGACGCUGAGGAGCGAAAGCGUGGGGAGCGAACAGG